UUCCCUCCAAAACCACAAUGAACCCUUACCUACAAAAUGACACGAAGAAAUCGAAGAUUCAAAACACAACGAAGAAUAAGAAUUUGUGCCCAAAAUCGAUGAAAGCAGAAAAAGAAAAUACAGAGAAACGAAGAGAGAAGAAUGUUAAAAGGGGAAUAGAAUUUUGGGGAAAACAAAAUAACAAAACAAAACAAAAUAAAAUAAAAUAAAAUAAUAUCCCAACUCCCACUCCCCACUAACUAACAAAUCCCCUAAAACUGACCUACUAACACUCAUCCACUACCACAGCGUAUUAGUUCCAUCCAACUUCUAAUACACAACCGGCA
rnacentral:lncRNA from 1 species